UUUGGAAUUAGGCCCUGAAAAUUUGAGGUGGUCUCGGGGUUGUACGUUAAAAGGUUGAAGAUUGUUAUUUGGGUCUUUGGAAAAGUGGUCUCGGAAUUGAAGGGGUCUCGAAUUGGAGGGUGCACUGUUACACUAGCUGUUAUUUAGGCCUGUUUGUUUAUAGUUAGAUAGGCCUAUGAUUCUUUCAAAAAAUACUGCAACACGUGGCGGUGACUACCCUGGAUGGAUGAAUCGUUGCGAAAUCUAUUUUACUAUUUCAACACACGUGCGUCAUUACUCAAAUGAAACGCGUUAUAGUAAGUAUUUAUUGGGGAAAUUACACCUACCUUUAUAUCUGUGGCACACACAAAGGUGGUGCAUCCACAUAAUACAAAUAUAUAAAAGAACAAACAAAAUUAUAAACAAAGGAUUAAACUAUUAUCUUAUUUUAAAAAAUACAUACAGGUUUAUACUUGCAAAUUGAAAUUGGCAUUUAAAGGUACUACUCCUAACACAGGGGCCAACCAGGACUAAAAGCGGAAUUUAUUAAUUAUUUUAAUUAUUUACUUAUUUUUUUCUUUUUUUUUACUACAAUGUUAGGCCUAUAGUAUACUGUAUUUGGCAAUUCUUAUUUAAACCAGUUUUAUUGAUACUUCAUGUAGACCUAUGUUUGUGAAGAUUUGAAUAGGUACCAUGAAAAAAUGAAUGAGUAGCUAACGGGGGAAGUCACAAGGAAUAUGGCAAACCAGCUCUCUCUGUGUAUGUUCAUCCACAAGUAAAUUAAAAACAAACACGUAAAUUAUAAAGAAAAGAUUAAGAUAUAAACUUAAUUAACAAAAUACAUAUAAAAUACAUAGGCCUAUACCCUUUUGUGACUGGUUUAAAUUAAAAGUACUGCUCCAGACAAAGAAAGAGCGCAAUUUAGUUUUUUGCUACAAUGAUUGGCAAUUCUUGUUUUAAACCAUUUUUAUUGUUACUUCAUGUAUGUUCGUGAAGUUUUGAAAUAAAUAAACCAUGAGAGAAGAAUAAAAAAUGUAAAAAUACAUAAGCCUUGGCUAUGUUUUAGUACCAAGAUUUGUUGACGCUUUAUUUUGGCUACUGACGCAUUGUGGAACUUCAAUACAAACUUUCGAAACAAGUUCGUGCUUUGCGAAGUACUGAAUAUUUACGACCAUAUUUACGUCUGCCUCCUCUUAUUAAAAUGACAAAAUUUAGCCGAAUCGUGAGUUUUCAAUGGAUGCAAAUUGGUGUGAUUGUACUCGUAGGUGUUACAGUGCGUUGGUCGGUUAGUUUAAAUGCAUAUUCAGGUGCAGGCAAACCACCAAUGUUUGGAGAUUAUGAAGCCCAGCGACAUUGGAUGGAGAUCACAACAAACCUUGCAAUUGACCAAUGGUAUGAGAAUGGGACAGACAAUGAUCUUUUGUACUGGGGUUUGGAUUACCCACCAUUGACAGCAUAUCAUAGUUGGAUAUGUGGUAAAGUUUCAUCUUUUCUGAAUCCGGAUUGGGUAGAACUGUAUGCCUCCCGUGGUUAUGAAAGCUAUGAGCACAAACUUUUCAUGAGGUAUUCAGUUCUUGUCGUUGACCUGCUCCUCUACAUUCCAGCCGUUUUGCUCCUCUGCUGGGUGGACAGUUCUAAGAGAAUGUUAAGUUUUGAUUGGUUGAUGGUUGCCAUGGUGAUAUUAUUAUACCCAGGACUCAUUGUGAUUGACCAUGGCCAUUUUCAGUACAACAAUGCAAGUCUAGGAUUUUGUCUCCUAGCAAUCAUUGCUGUGACAACAGGUCAUGACCUCUGGGGGUCAAUCUCAUUUGUGUUGGCUUUGAACUACAAACAAAUGGAAUUGUACCAUGCAAUGCCAUUUUUCUGUUAUCUGCUUGGAAAAUGUUUCAGAUCAUCUGAUGAGAAUGGAUUAUGGAAACUGAUAAAAAUAGGCGUUAUUGUCAUCGCAUCAUUUAUUAUCUGCUGGCUACCUUUCUUGACAACUGUUGAAACAAUCUUGCAGGUUGUACAUCGGCUCUUUCCCUUUGCAAGAGGACUGUAUGAGGAUAAAGUUGCAAACUUCUGGUGCAGUAUAGAACCUAUACUAAGAACAAAGGAAAAAUUUUCGCAAGAUAUAAUACUGAAGAUAGCUUUGGUUUCAACUGUAGGGGCGCUGUUACCUUCGUCGCUACAUCUACUAUACAAACCAACAGUCCGCAGCUUUAGAUUAGCACUAGUAAAUUCAUCAUUAGCAUUUUUCCUAUUUUCAUUCCAAGUACAUGAGAAAUCCAUCUUGCUGGUAGCAUUGCCAGUGUGUAUGAUGCUACAAGACCGACCAUUUGCAUCGACCUGGUUUUUAUUAAUAUCAACAUUGAGUAUGUUUCCUCUACUUGUGAAGGAUGGCCAGGCUCUCUCUACAUCAGCCCUCUGCUUACUAUUCCUACUAGCAUCAAGGACCUUGCUAGACUCUCAGAAGUUAAAACAACAUAUUGCUGUGCGAAUAAUAUUUUGGUUAUCAAUUCUUGGAAUGUCAGUACUCUGUGCAUUCCACCUGGUGAUCCCACCCCCUCCAAAGUAUCCUGAUCUAUACCCUUUAUUCAUCUCGGCUUAUUCUUGUGCACACUUUCUGGUAUUCUUUGCGUACUGUCAGUACUUGCAGUUUACAACCACAGAUGAUGAGAAGGUACGAGGCCCAACAGAUGAGACAUUUAGAAAUACGAAAACAAAGAGGAAAGUGCACAAGAAAGACUGAAGUAAUAUUUAAAAAUGAAAAAAUUCAAAUCAUAAAUAAGUUAAGAAUAAGAAUUUAUUCACAAAUUGUUCUAAAAAUACAAACACAGUACAGUAUUAUAAAAUAGUACAGUACUUGAUAGACAUGUUAAUAACUUUUAAAGGACUAAAUAUAUUUUUGUUGGUAAGGUCUUGACAAAAUAUUAAGCAACAAUUAAUACACAGGUAACUUUUUAAACUGUGAAUGAAAGCAAGUGCCUUACUGGCAAAUUUACAGUUUAAAAACAUAUCACCAAUCAUUUGACCAAAUAAAUUGUUGAUUUGUUUUUCAUUGGAUGAUGUUCUUUUCAUAAUUAGAUUAUGAACUUGAAAAUUUCUUUGUUGUACAAAAUACAGUACAGUACUAUGUUAUACUGUAAUUAUUUUAAUAUUAAAAUAUGGAUGGUUAUUACAAUCAUACACUAUAAUUAUGGUGAUGCCAUGUUAUAGAACCCUGUUCCGCAACCUUUUUAGCCCACGACCCAAAUGAUAUGUCAAGCACACUGACGCGACCCAUCAAAACCCAAAGUCAAUAAAACGACGUCGUUUUAUACGCGCGAGGGAUAGCGGGAAGAACCACUCACUUGAUUCUUUUGUGAAUUGAUUAAAAUAUUAUCAUCACCCACAAAAUCAAUAUGUAAAACCCAUAAAAAUAGAAAUUAAAAUAACUUUGAAUUACUCUUUUAACAAAAUCACGCAAGUUAUCAAAUUUUUUUAUAAGUUAAAGACUUUUAAAAAUUAAUUAUUAACAGACAUUGUAUUAUAAAUUCCUAGUGCUUCCAGAGAUUUAUGGGUUAUGCGGAGACAUAGACACAUCAAAUUUAAAAAUGUUUUCUCAUUAUAAUUUGCAGCUGAAAGCCUAACACAUUGAAAUGAACAAAGCUAAUACUUUACGGUUGUCACACCUGAAGUACAAAUGUUUUGAUAAUAUAUUUUUAACAUGAAACUGAUAAUUUUAAUAACAAAAGUAAACUCACGCACUUGUCACAUUUAAAUUGCACUUUCGUUACUGUAAUUUAAUUUUGUGUAUCUUCGUUCACGUUAAGUAAAGUUUUCACGAUCUGAAGAGAUCAUGCGACCCAUUUUGUUUUCGUAACCCAAACAUUGGGUCACGACCCAUAGGUUGCAGAACGGUGUUUUAGAAUAUCUUCAGUGGUGUAACAUCUAUGAGGUCUCACUAGCUAAAGGAGGCCAUGGUCCAGGAUAUUAUUAUUAAUUGAUUUUCCCUGGACCAUGGGGCCCCAAAAUUGCCAACUGCAGCCCCUAAUGAGCAGAAUGUGUAAAAAACAUGAAAAACACCAGAGCAUGCAUGCCUGGAAAAAAAAUGUUUGUACCUCCGACCAUCAAAAUUGUCUCAAUAAAACGUCCCCCAGCACCAAAUGUUAUCUGUAUACUAUAUAGCCCAACCAUUUAUUUUUUUUAAUUUUUUUCCUAAAAUGCCACCGGCUGCCAGUUGUGCAGUUGCACACUUUUUGCAGCCUUGCUUUGCAGCCUCCUAGAGCCCAGGGCCUCAGACCUCUUUGUUACACAACUGGAUAUCUACCAUACCAUAUAAUUGGUUCUAAAGCUUUGUCCACUAGCCCUGGAAAAAAAAAUGUUUGUGCCUCCCUCCGACCAUGAGAAUUGUCUUGAACUGUAAUCUGUACAAUAUAUAGCCUAGCAGUUUAUUUUUUCCCCCCAAAUUGCCUCUGGGACAUCCAUGGUGCCUCCGACGGCAGGUCGUGCACUUUUUCCAGGCUUAGUGACAAAUAACUGCGAUAUGCCAUCAUCAUGCCCAUAUAUGGGCACAUCACACAAAUUUGUCACACUAAUUGAUAAUGUGGACAGAUCUCAAUAUUAUACAGUUCCACAAAGCUGUGUAUUUGAGUCUAUUAUUUUCUUGCUUUUGUGAAUUUUAUCUGCUCUGCUAGUGGUAACACUUUUUCCCUUUAUGGACAACUCAAGUUACUCUAAUCCCAUCAGCUGAAAUAAAUUAUGAAAAUAUAGCCUAUUGUUUCAUUUUACUCCCCUAUCAGCAGGUACAGUAGUAUAUCAACAAUAGUAUCUAUGUUAUAACUAAUUUUACACAGAUAUGAAGUAUAAUUGUUUAAAUAAAUGUCAAAGAAACAAUAUCAGGUAUCGCAUGUCUACUUCAUUUAAAGGAAUCAUACAUUUUAUAUGUCGUACAUUAUUUGCCAGUUAUAUACAUGAGAACAAUAUUUUGAUAUAAACACUGUAACAUAUAAACAGAUUGACUGGUCCAUAAUAAACUUAGACAGUAUAAGAAGGGACACCAACAAACUCAUAUUUUACUUAUUUAUUUUUUGAUUUUAUUCCUUUAGGCACAUGGCCAAAGAUCACCAAUAUCAACUUUAUCACUGUCCUAUUAGGUGGCAAUCCCUUCACACAACAAACGUAUACACA